rnacentral:rRNA from 1 species
GGCUCGCAGGCGGUUUCUUAAGUCUGAUGUGAAAGCCCCCGGCUCAACCGGGGAGGGUCAUUGGAAACUGGGGAACUUGAGUGCAGAAGAGGAGAGUGGAAUUCCACGUGUAGCGGUGAAAUGCGUAGAGAUGUGGAGGAACACCAGUGGCGAAGGCGACUCUCUGGUCUGUAACUGACGCUGAGGAGCGAAAGCGUGGGGAGCGAACAGGAUUAGAUACCCUGGUAGUCCACGCCGUAAACGAUGAGUGCUAAGUGUUAGGGGGUUUCCGCCCCUUAGUGCUGCAGCUAACGCAUUAAGCACUCCGCCUGGGGAGUACGGUCGCAAGACUGAAACUCAAAGGAAUUGACGGGGGCCCGCACAAGCGGUGGAGCAUGUGGUUUAAUUCGAAGCAACGCGAAGAACCUUACCAGGUCUUGACAUCCUCUGACAAUCCUAGAGAUAGGACGUCCCCUUCGGGGGCAGAGUGACAGGUGGUGCAUGGUUGUCGUCAGCUCGUGUCGUGAGAUGUUGGGUUAAGUCCCGCAACGAGCGCAACCCUUGAUCUUAGUUGCCAGCAUUCAGUUGGGCACUCUAAGGUGACUGCCGGUGACAAACCGGAGGAAGGUGGGGAUGACAUCAAAUCAUCAUGCCCCUUAUGACCUGUGCUACACACGUGCUACAAUGGACAGAACACAGGGCAGCGAAACCGCGAGGUUAAGCCAAUCUCACAAAUCUGUUCUCAGUUCGGAUCGCAGUCUGCAACUCGACUGCGUGAAGCUGGAAUCGCUAGUAAUCGCGGAUCAGCAUGCCGC